UCCGGCUUAUCACCGGCGGUUUCUUUAGAGUGCCCAACUAAAUGAUGGCAACUAAAGACGAGGGUUGUGCUCGUUGCGGGACUUAACCCAACAUCUCACGACACGAGCUGACGACAGCCAUGCAGCACCUGAACCGGCGGUCCCCGAAGGGAAGAUCCUAUUUCUAGGACUGUCCGCCGUUGUCUAGCCCAGGUAAGGUUCUUCGCGUUGCGUCGAAUUAAACCACAUGCUCCACCGCUUGUGCGGGCCCCCGUCAAUUCCUUUGAGUUUCAGCCUUGCGGCCGUACUCCCCAGGCGGGGAACUUAAUGCGUUAGCUACGGCACCGCGGGGGUCAACACCCACGACACCUAGUUCUCAUCGUUUACGGCGUGGACUAC
rnacentral:misc_RNA from 1 species